ACCUGCUUCUUAAACGCCUGGGUGCCGAAGUGACACACACCGCCUCUGCUCACAUUCCUCUGGCGAGAGCUAGUUGCACUGCACAGCUGGAUGCAAGAGGACCUGCAAAACGGGGCGGGCGAGGCGCCAGCUCUGCGCUCCGGAAGAGGGAGAAUGAACCUGGUCGUAUCUGUCUGGCCUGCCGCAGAUGCACCGUGGAAAACACUGAAUUCAGGACGCCGAGGAAUGAGGGCGGUGCAGGAGAUGGAGUAGCCAAGGAGGGCUUCCCAGAAGAGGUGGUGCCGAGGUGAUUCACGAAGGAUGAAUAAGAACCUGCUGGGCCAAGAGGAAGGUGACUACCCUGGAGGGACGGCUGUGUGCAAAGGUUUAGAGAAAAGAGAGCAUGUCAUAACUCAUUCCAGAAAUUGCUGACGGUCCCGAUCCACAAUUGAGGACAAACGGUGUGGAGGAGCUGACAUUUAGGAGGACUGGGACACCGACUAAGACGGGUGAGACCCAGCCCUGCCUCGGCGCAGACGGAAGUGGCAGGACUGGCCCUACCACCUGGCUCACCUCCUCCCCCACCCCCCUGAGGAGAGGGGAGAGAGAAAAUUCACAGGGCCGCUGGUGAUCACUGGGCUGCCCCCCACCCUGGUUACCAAGGUGAGAGGGCUCUGUGAGACUUACAGCUGGGGUGGGGGGAACGGGACCCAUGGGACUCUCCUUUCCUGGGGAAUCUCCGAGUGGACCCUGCCCUCCAUGCCCUGCCAGGGGCAGGAGAGGACUCCAAGCGGAGAGGAGGCUGCAGGGUGGCUGCCUGCACAGCCGCCUGGCCUGGGCGAGGCCACCCUGUAGGCUUGUCCUGGAGUCGAGAGGUCGGUCCAAAGGGCAGCAGCUUGAGCCACUGUAUCAGCGAUCCGUCACUGCAAAUCAAACACUGCAAGCCUAAGUGCCAUAAACCUGUGCUCAUCUCUUAUCUCAUGACUCCCUCAUGGCCAGGAGGUCAGACAGGGGGUCAUGAGUAUGACCCCUGUAUCCUCCACGCUGCCUGGGCCGCGGCAGAGGGACUCGGCUGAGGGAUGAGCUGAGGGCUCGCCUGGGGCUGGCUCACACGACGGGUGACCGGUGCUGACACCUGGGCUUCUCUCCACAUGGCCUUUGCACGGGCUGCUGAUGUCCAGACAAUGUGGCAGCUGGCUUCCGCCUGAGAAAACCACCCAACAGGCCGAGGUGAUGCUGCAGCCUCUGACCUGACCGAGCCUCACAAGUCCCGUGUCCUCACCUCCACAGAACUUGGUGGGCUCACAUGGGGUAGCUCUGACUCAGGGCGCGAGGACCACGGAAGGGCGUGCACCCCUGGCGGGAGAAUAAUGGGCUGUCGUGGAGGCUGCAGACCACGGCUCUCCUGCUGGCUCUGCAGCUGGGAGGGCUGGCCAGGCACAGGGCACCCGAGGAGGGUGAGCUGGAGGGGCAGAAGAGUUCUAGCCUGGUCGUCUCUACCCCACCAUGGACCCAAGCGAGGGGAAGGCCCAUGGAGCUCUGCGGGUAGCUCACCCAUGGCCCGUACACAGUGCGGUCCCCGCACAGGUGCCGAGGCUCCCAGAGCACAGAGAAGCACCCACGACCUGAAGGAUCUGUUCUAAAGAGGCCCUUCCUCCACGGUGCUCGGCUGUCACCUUUCCCAGAAGUCAGAUGACUGUAGAUCUAUGGGUCUAUUUCUAGACUGUCCUGUUCCAUUGAUUUGUCUGCCCAACUUUAUACCAGCACCACACUGGAUUAAUUACUAUACUUACAUGGGAGGUCCUGAGAUCUGGCGGGUAAGUUCUCCAACUUUCUCCUCCUCCCCUUCUGGAAGGCCUUCACGAUCAUUGGCCCUUUGCAUUUCUGUAUAAAUUUUAGACUCAGCUUGUCAAUUUCCACAUAAAAAUUCUGCUAUAGACUGGAAUCAUAUGGCAUUUAUGAUCCACGUGGGGAGAAUUUUAUUGAGUUGUACACUUAUGUAUUAUUUGAAUGCUUUUUCAUAUAUGUGUUACACUUCAAAAUAUUUAAUGUCAUUAAGAAAUCUGCUACCCAUGGCACUUGUGUGUUAAGUUGCUCAGACGCGUCCAACUCUUUGCGACCCUGUGGAUCAUACCCCACCAGACUUCUCUGCCCAUGGGAUUCUCCAGGCAAGAAUACUGGAGUGGGUCGUCAUGCCCUCCUCCAGGGGAUCUUCCCAACCCAGGGAUCGAACUCAUGGCAUAUUUCAAAUUAUGUUACCAGACAUUAAGAUUCUUCAACCAAUUAACAAUAAACUUCUUUUAAAACUUCA